rnacentral:lncRNA from 1 species
UUUUUUUUUUUCUUGCCUUCGUCUAAAAGUUAAACAAACAUUGAAUGUGGUAAAAAUGAUGCAUAGUAAUCAAAUUUCAACUGAAAUUUAUGCAAAAAUCUUUGAUUUGUACAUGUCUCCUCUAAACAUCAUUUUUCCUGCAAGCAAGUAAAUUUGAUGCAUUUGCCAUUGAUUCAUUAGUAAUCUUGAAGUCACCCUUAAGAAAUCCUGUGGCAAAUUAAGAAUUCUAACACUGUGAUUCACCUAUAGAUCUCACUUAUGCACUGUAAGCAUAAUUAUGAUGAAGAGCAGAUUUGACAUCAUGGGUUCCAUUUUUUAUUCAUUCAUUUCUCGUGCCUUGGUGUUUAUCAGUAUAGUUAUUAAUCUUAAUAUUUUUCGUCACUAUUUUAACCGUUCAUCAAUACAAAUGAACAUCUGCUGUUGCUGAAGCUGAGCUUACCUUGUGAGGAUUUGUGGCUGGGCAAAGCCUAUUCACAACCCUCCUUUCCAGCACUCCCUUCUAUCUAUGUUUAGUGAGGAGGAGGAUUUUGUAGAAUAUGAUGCCCUAAAAAGAUACUAAUAAUCCUCUGUAGUUGUCCUCUCUUCAGAUUCCUUGCUUCAUAAAAGCAAAUUAAACAGUAAUACUACCCCUUCUACUAUAUUCUCACGCACCCUAAAUAUCCAUGAAGUCGCGGGUAUUCUAAAAAUGAGGAAAGGUCUUAUAUUUAGGAAACAAUUUGCCCAAAUGCACAGAGUUUAAUGAAUAUCCAUCGUUCAAUUCUCUUGGAUGAGUUCUCAGCGAGUUAGUCCAAGCUUGACUUCGUGAAAUGACCAGUAGUUUUUUUUUUUUUUAACUUUCAUUUCAAUACAAUCCAUCUUAGAAAAAUCAAUUGGUAAGACACAAGACAUGUGUUGUAAGCUUACACACUGGUAAUAUUUUUCAUUAUGUAUUUAUUUAUUUAUUUAUUUAUUUUUUUGUGAUAUUCUUUACUGUAGAAGUUGAAGAAGAGGUUGAUUCAUAUAUAUAUAUAUAUAUAUAUAUAUAUAAUUCUCCCUGGAGUUGCUGAACUAAUACUAAUCAGAAACC